AGUCACAUGUGCAAGAGAAGACACGAGGUUGUAUGUGUUGCCAGUUAGUUUUUUGUAAGCACACAGCGUGCUUUAUGGCUGUUGAAACUUCUCCGACACCUUUUCUUCAAAAACAUUUGCAAACUGCCACAAAAAAAUAUAUAAAUCCAACUUUUGCUUAAUCCCCUCGUUGAAAUUUUAAUAUUUAUAUGAUUUUGGCCUGCAGGAUUGCUGCUUUGAGUAUAUUAAGGAGCAGGCUGUCAAAAGGGACAUGAAGGAGAUACUUCGUAACAAAGAAAAGUUUCUACUGGUUCAUUCCUCUUCUGGUCAUAAGGACGCUCUACAGGAAGCUCUUCAGAGCCCUUCAGUUUCUCUAAAACUCGCAGAUACAAAGGCGGCUAAAGAGGUAAAAAUACUCGAAAGUUUCUACAAAACUUUGGACGCCGAUCCGUCUCGGGCUUUUUAUGGCUAUAAGCACGUUUACCAGGCUAAUAAAGAGUUGGCAGUAGAGUCCUUAUUAAUAUGCGAUGCGCUCUUCCGCUCGAGAAAUCUAAAAAUAAGAAAAAAAUAUGUCAAAUUGGUUGAAGCCGUUAAAAAAAAUGGUGGAGAUGUCUUUUUAUUUUCGAGCAUGCACUUCACAGGAAACCAACUUAAUCAGUUUACUGGAGUUGCUGCCAUCCUUCGAUUUCCUUUACCACAUCUGGAAGAUUAUUUUUUUGACGAAAAUGAUUUGUUAGAAUCGCUGGAUAAUCUUGAA